rnacentral:antisense_RNA from 1 species
ACUUUUUAAUAAUCCGAGGAGGGAGGAAAGCCCUCGGUCCCCUCGGCUCCGGGGGCGCCCGGCUGGGCCCAGCUCCGCGGGCGCGCCCCCGUCACCCCCUCCCAGGCCAGUUCAGGGCAGCGCCAAGGGGCCGCCGGCUCAGGCUGAGGCCUCCUCCUGCCUAGGCGUCUGGCGUCCGUUUGUCUGUCCGAGGCCUCAGCGCAGCUUACGAUUCUUCAUCAACUCGUAAAAUGAGAUCGCCGCGGAGCUCGAGCCUAUUUGGCGUCUCCGGAGACUAGCAAGACCCUCUGAAAGACACCGCGUCCCCAGGGAUAAUCCCCCGUGUCCGGCAAAGCUGCCCCGCUCGAGCGCGAACCCUGGGACCCAGCGCGGGAGGCAGACCAGCAGCUGGCCGCUGGGCUGUGAACGCCAGGACCGAGCGGAAGCUUCCCGCCCGGCCGCGAUCGGUGCCGCGGCUCUCAGGGAAGUGGCUACGCGCGGCCCUCGGGAAAGCAGAUUAUCGGAGCCCUUUCAGAGAGCGCACAACAAAUGCGCCCGCCAUCGAAUGCAUCAUUUACCACCGCAGAUCCGAGCGCUGAUGGGCAGGCAGAUAGCCCUCUGCUGGGGGCACGCGGGCUCCCCGUGCCCGUACCACUCGCCUGCCUGCCGGGGCCACUGAGUGUGCGCCCCGGUGUGCCCGGCGUGUUUGGAUGGACACGUGGGUGUGCCAGUGCAUGGGCUAACGCCGAUGCAACUGUGCGGGUGUGUCAAACAAGUGUACCACAAAAAAGUGCAAGUGUGCGAGCCCAUCCAUGCACACGCAUGGCAGGCGUCUGUGCUGAGUGCCCGGAGGCGGCCGAUGAGGCGGUUGGAGGGUCCACACAGGAGGCGGUGCUGCACUAAGCUUGUGGGCAGGCAUGCGGCCCAGGGUGGCUGGACACGUGGUGGAGGAAUGGGAGUGCAAGCCCGCGUGUCCGAGUGCAGCAGAUGAGCAUCCUGCGAGUGCCUCACUGUGUCUGCCCUGGAGGUGGCUGUUUAGGGGAGCACGCCGGAGGCCACUAGGGUGGAUGUGCUGUGUGCAUGCAAGUGCCCACCCUACGCUGUGUUUCGGGGCACACAAGCUACCUGUGCCUACCGGGAUGAGCAUGCAAGUGUCACCGCUCCCGCCGGGCGUGCUUGGGGUGUG